UACGGGACUGGUGUCAUCCUGACCACCUCGGAGGGGUGAGGGAAGAGGGGGAGACCACCAGAUGGGUUGAGGGGAGCCGCAUAUCCCCUCCCUAGCUAGGCAUUAGUCCCCUAGAAGACAGGGAGAAACGGCAGUCUAAAAUGGCUGCCUGAAGACGGAAAGCUGCCAGGACCUAAGUUUUGCGCUGGAGCGGUGAAGUGGUGAGCAAUAUGUAACCAGAUAAAAGAACUUGUUUUUUUCCUAAUAACCCCAAGAAAUAAGGAAAGGAUAA